UACGCGCAUGGACGGCGUUGACGUUGAG
rnacentral:sRNA from 1 species